GCCCCUCCCCCAGCGCCGCGAAGCCGCAGGCUGUCUGCGUAGCCGCCGCCGUGACUCACCUUCUUCUUCCCUGCCGGGACCCGGGCGGCCUGGGCCUGUAGCCGUGGGCCCUCCACCCAGGCUCCGCAAGCCCAUCCUACAUCUCCCCGGGCAGGUGUGUUUGCAGGAGCAGUCUGGGCACCGUCGUCGUUUCUGACCCCAGGAUCCUUGCGUGUAAAUAGCAAUUUUUGAAACCACUUCUGCAGGAGGUGAGCCUUCAGGGCUGUGCCGAGAUGAAGAGGAGAAGGGAUAAGCCUCGCAGCUGGGAGAAAUGCUGAGCUCGCUGCCCAGAGGACACCACACCCCCCCGGGACUGCCUCGCAGGGACUGCGCUGCGGAGGCGGCCUAGAGAGGUUUCAGAUAUUUAGUGAUUCUGUGCAUUUAGAGGGGACAUAUUUCCUGGAUAAGUGGCAAAUUGUGCAGAUGUCUUCUGGAAGACCUUCGUUGUAAGCAGCUUUAUGGUGAAACAUUUCAUUUCGAAGUCUGCACCUUCUUCCUUCGGCUUGCCGUGAUCUACGUUCGCAGAAUAGAACCUGUAUCGAUUAUUGCGACCCAGUUUGCUCCAGGUUUCUGGAUUGAAUAAAUAUCAGGCGCAAGACCUACAGCGCUGCCCCAGUAUCUCUAGCUCCACUAAAUACGAAGAGAGGGAUCAGGCUUGGCUGCUUCUCGGAACAUCUUGGAAGAUCUGGCGGAACGUGGUGGUGGCAGACGCCUAGGGUCUGGAAGGAGGGAAGAACGAAUCUGCAAGGCGCAGGUGCCCAGAGAAUAGAUCCGAAGCCUUCUUGCUACACACGGAAAAGGUAACUGUGGGAGGUGACGGAUGCGUUAAAAUUAAUUGUGAUCAUCGUUUCACAGUGUCUACGUAUAUCAAAUCGUAUUGCACACUUUAAGUAUAUACAGUAUUAUUUGUCUAUUAUAAUUAAAGCUGGGAAAAAUUAAAAAUCGUGUCAGAUCCAUCAAUCGAUGGUUCUGUUGAGCUGAACUAUCUCUUUGCUGCUUGUCUGCCUACUGGAUCUGUCAGCUACUAAUAGAGGGAGUGUUGAAAUCCCUCACAUUAAUAGUGGAUUAUCUAUUUCUGCAUUUUUAUCAGUUUUUGCCUCUUGUAUUUUGACGCUUUGUUGUAAAGUGCAUAUAUUUCAGAGAUUAUUGUGUCUUCUUGGAGAAUUGACUCCCUUGUUAUGUAAUACCCUCUUUACCCCUGCUAAGUUUCUUGUUCCAGUGCCUUUUUUUGUCUGAAAUUCACGUAGCUACUCCAGCUUUCUUUUGACUCGUGCCGGCUCGGUUCACCUUUCCCAACUCUUUCACUUUUAAUGCAUAUGUGUUUUUAUAUUUAAAUUGAAUUGGGUUUCUUGUGGACAGCAUAUAGCCGGGUCUUGGUUUGCAUCUACCCUUACGGUCUCUUCUUGCAAUCGGCGUAUCGAGACCACUCCCUUUUGAAGUGAUCACUGACACGGUUGGAUUUACAUCCACCAUGUUCGUGAAAAUUUUGUACCUGCUGCACUUAUUCUUUGUGUUCUUUUUAAUCUUCCUGUUUCUGCCCUCUCUUUUAAUUGAGCACUUUUUAUUGUUCCAUUUUCUCUUCUCUCUCAGCGUAUCAGUUAUAUUUCUCUUUAACUUCUUGGUGGUUUCCCUAGACCUGGACUGCGCAACGUAAGUCUCCAACCAGUCCAGGUCCGCCUUCAGAUGACGCUGCAGCGUGGGCGUAACGGACUUCGCGGCCUCUCACCCCAUCCCUUACUAACACUGCUACAUUUAUUGCACUAACCUACCUGCUAUUACCGCGCAGUAUGUUGUGGCCGGUAUUCCUUUGAACAGUCGUCCAUUAGAUUAAGUAAGACUAAGAAAAAUAAAAUACGCGAUUUUGAUCUUCACGUGUUCCUUCUGUGACCCCUUUCCUUUCGUUUACGUAGAUCCAAAUUUCUGACCAACACCAUGUUCCUUCCCUCUGAAGAGCAGCUUUUAACGCUUACCCGCAACGACAGUUCUCUCAGUUCUGUUAGCCUGAACGUUAUGGACUGAAUUGUGUUCCCCUCCAAAGUUGAUAUGGUGAAGCCGUGACUCCCAGCAUGACUGUAUUUGGAGACAGGGCCUUUAGAGAGGUGAUGAAUGUCCACCGUGGUGAUAAGGGUGGAGCCCGGCUGCAGUAUGACUGGCGUCCUCAUAAGAAAAGGAAGAGACGCCAGGGAUGGGCACUUACACAGAGGUAAGGCCACGUGAGAAGACAGCCAUCUCCAAGCCAAGUGGAGAGGCCUCCGAAAAGGCAGCACUGAUCUUUGCACCUUGAUCAAAGCACCUUGAUCUUUGACUUUCAGUCUCCAGAACUGAGAGAAAAUAAUUUUGUUGUUUAAGGCCCCAGUUUGUGGUAUUUUGUUUUGGCGGCCCUAGCAGACUACUACACCAACAAAGUCUUUAUUUUCCCUUACUUCUGAAGGAUGGUUUUUCUGGAUAUAGACUCCUUGGUUGGUGUUUUUUUUUUUUCCCCAACCCUUUAAAUAUUUCAUGCUACCCUCCUUGCUUGCAUGAUUUUUGAAGCAAGUCCGAUAGAAUUCUUACCUUUGUUCCCCUCUAGGUAAGAUGUUUUUCUUCUCUGACUUUUUAAGAGACUUUUCCUUGGCUUUAUGCAAUUUGAAUAUGAUCUGCCUAGGUGUGUGAGUGCACGCGUGCCUGUCUGUAUGUGUGUGUAUUGGCAUUUAUUCUGUUUGGCGUUCUAUGAGAUUCCUCAAUUUGUGCUGUGGUAUCUGUCACGGAUUUUAGAAAAAUCCCAGCCAUUAUUAUGUCAAAUAGUUGCUUUUUCUCUUUCUUCUGCUUUUGACAGUCUCCUUAUACAUGUGCUGUAUUUUGGUGAUUGCCUCACAGUUAAUAGGUAGUCUGUCCCAAUUUUUAUUAUUUUUUCUCUUUACAACUCAGUUUGGGAAGUUUCUAUUGACCUAUGUUCAAGUGCUCGGAUUCUAUCCCCAGCCCUUUCCGAUCACCUGACGCGUCCAUCAGAUGAUGUAGACUAUUUCUGCUAUAGUGUUUUCUGUUUCUAGUAUUUCCUUUAUAUUCUUUCUUAAGGUUUCUGUCUCUCCGUUAUUAUAUGUACACCAUCUGUUCUUGCAUGUUGUCCACUUUUUCCAUUAAAGCCCUUAGCAUAUGAAUCCUACUUCUUUUUUAAUUUCCCAUCUGAUGACUUCACAAUCUCUGCCGUAUCUGACUGAACCUGGUUCUGACACCCACUUUGUCCCUUCAGAUCGUUUCUUCUUCCCUUGUGUCAUGCCAUGUAACUUUUGUUGUGGUUGAAAGCCAGUCAUGAAUUAUCAGGUGUUAGGGAGUAAGUUGGCCGUUCGUAUGAGAGUUAUUUUUAUCUGGCUAGGAGAUAUGCUUUAUUUACUCUUUUCUGUACCUGUAGUGUCAGAGGAUUCAGUUUCCACGAGUGUCUUUGUUUUUUGUCCCCCAGCAUCUUUCGUUUCCCUAGACAACCCUUCUUAAGUAGAAUCUGAGCCUUGGCGCUCUCUGAGCAGUAAUCCACUGCUAUUAGGCAGGAGCCCUGUUGAUGUUUGCUCAGGUCUGGACUGAGAAGCAUCCUGUAAUCCUGGGAUUAGGUCUCAGUCGUUCAGUGUACCUGUCCCCCUGGGCUGGGAUCUUCUCCGGUGUUUCUCAGCUUUUUUCCCCACCUUAUGUGAAGAAGAAAGGCUAUAGGGGGCCUGAAGUUUGGGGAUUUCCCUCACCCCAAGUCCAGGGAGGCUUCUCCCUUGCUGGGUAGGCCUUUCUUGUGGAGAAGGCUCUUGGCUUCUUUCAAAAUGGUUACCUCUCGCCUCUCCCUGGCCCAACAGGAGGCAAUUUUGCUCUGAUCGUUACCAAGAAAACCUGGUGAGGAUUCUAGAGGCAGACACCAUGAUGGUGGAGGGAAGGGCUACCUUAGAUGGCCCCCCUGCCAGGAGUUCUCUCAGGCCAGUCCAUGCUCAGCCCCCCCCCCCCCCCCGCAGGUCAGGGAAGCUUCCAUGUAAGUUACUGCCUCGGGUUUGCUGAGUUGCAUGCAUUCAUGGUAACCUGUGGUUUCUAGAAUCCCCGGCUCCUUCAGGUUUGGGGUGUGGUUUAUCCCAUGAGCUCAGUUCUGUGACAUAGCCAGAAAGAGUCACUGGUUCUGUUUUCCUCGUUGUGAAGGUGGGUGAGUUGCAAGCACUUUACGUGUUCGAGUCGAGUCUUUCCUUUGCGUUUUAGACGUUAUUUCCUUAGCUCUACGGACAUAUCUGGUAAAAGUCUUUAUCUAGUAAUCCCAUGCCUGUGCUUCCUUAGGGACAGUUCUCUUGAUUGCCCCCCGCCCCCCCCCCCCGCCAUACAUGGGCCAUACGUUCUAGAUUCUUCACGUGCCUCGUAAAAUUUUACUGAAAACUGGACAUUGUGAAUAUCAUAAUGUGGCAACUCUGGAAAUCAGAUUCCCCUCCUGGCAGGCUCCGUUGUCGCUGCCUGUUGUAGCUAUCGUUUAUUUAGGACUUCUCUGAAUUAAUUCUGCAGAGACUAUUUUUUGUAUAUGGCCACUGAAGGCUUAGCUUAGUUAGUGGUCGGCUAAUGGUGGACAGAGAUUUCCUUCAGUGCCUGGAACGCAUCAAUCUCCCGGUCAUUUCCGAGAGGCUCAGUGUGUGUGUGGCUUUCAUCAUUCAGUCAGGCAGUUUACAAGUCUGUAGUAACCUUCACUAGCCUCAAGGUCAGCCAGGGUUGGGAAGUUAGGGCUUCCUCACACUUUCUUGAGCAUGCACAAUGCCCUAAACGUGUACUUGGCCUUCUAGAUUCCCAGGAAUAUGUCAGAACUUUUCGAAGCUCCCGUGGACUGUGGUGGCCCAACUGAUUCUGUUAAGCUUUGUGGUUAGUCUGGUAAACUUCCCUCAAAGGUUACCUUUCGCCUUAGGCAUCCCCCACCCCAAACACUUUCCAGUGAAUGUUUUUGGCCAGUGCCCUCAAGAAGAGAUUUUUUUUUUUUUUUUUUAGCAUUAGAGGAACUCCUAGUCAGUUCAAAUAAAGAUGAGUCUUUGGAGGAAGGUCUUCCAGUGAUCCAUUAGGUUAAAUAAUGAAUAUUUGGGGGGAAUGAGGCUUUAAAAGAGGACCACUCUGCUCCUUCCUAUACUGAAAGGGAGUACACAUAAUCCUGUACACUAUGGAUUAUAAUGGACCUGGGGGGUAGGAAGAAUGGGGAGUAAUUGCUAACAAGUUGGAUUUCUUCUGAGCAUGAAGAAACAUUCUGAAAUUAGCGUUGAUGAGUGGCACAGCCUUGUGAGUAUACUAAAAACCACUGAAUUAUGCACUUUAAGAUGAUGUGUGAAAUAUGUCAAUAUAAACAAGAAUUGAAGUUCUGAUACAUGGGUGAACCUUGAAAAUAUGACGCUAAGGGAAAGAAGCCACACAGAAUAGGCCUUAUAUUUUAUGACCCCAUUUGUUAGGAAUGUCCAGAAUAUUGAAAUCCAUAGACAGAAAGCAGAUGAGUGGUUGCCAGUGGCUGGGGAAAGGAGAAAUGGUGAGUGAUUGCUAAUGGGUAUGAAGUUUCUUUUCGGGGUGAGGAAAAUGUUCUGGAAUCAGAUAGUGAGGAUUGAGGCACCAAUUUGCAGAUACAGUAUACUAAAAACCACUGGAUUGUACAUUUUAACAGGGUGAACAUCGUGGUAUAUGAAUUAUAUCAAUUAAAAAAUGUUGUUUUAAAGGAAAAUGUAACGCCAUAGAGAGCAUAAAUGCGUUCAUGUAUUCAAAAAAUAUUUAUGGAGUAUGUACUGCUUAUCUGACGUGUCUAGGGACCAGGGACCAGGAAUUGAACAAAAGUCCUUCCCCUCAUGGCCUGGCAGGUGCAGUCUGAAGAGUGCGUGACUCUUGAUCUCGAGGUCGUGAGUUCGAGCCCUGCACUGGGUGUAGAGAGGAGUUAAAAAUAAAUCAAUAAAUGAACUUAAAAAAAGUCCUUCCCCUCCUGGACAGUAUAUUCUGGUAUUAGAAGAAAAGCAGUAAGAAAAAUAGCUAAAAACUAGGGUCUCGGGCAGUGCAAAGGGACAAAUAAAGCAGGGAAGGAAGAGUGGUGUCAUUAGAUUGUAGGCCACCUGAAUAAGCAGAUGGCAUUUUAGCAAAGAUCUGAAGGGUGGUCAAAAGGCGAGCCAUGAGAAUAUCUCAGGGAAGAGCCUUCCAGGCAGAGGGAGCAGCACGUGCAAAGGCCCUGAUGCGCAGCUGGGCGCGACAGUUGAGGAACAGCAGGGGGAGGAGUGUGGCUGGAGUGAAGAAGGUAAAAAGGGAGAAGGUAGGUGGAGUCGAAGCCAUAACUGUGGCGAAGGGGAAGGGCUCAGACUGCAUUGGGUCUUGCAGGCCACUGUCAGGAAUUAACUUUCAUCUUGCGCUCAGAGUGACCAGUGGGCUUUCCAGGGUCAGAAAUUCCCAUCUGUCCCUUUCAGAUGAUACAGGAAGUUCCUUUUUUGGAACAGGCUCUCCCUCCUUAGGCCACUAAGCCCCACAGCGAGUGCCAGCGUGACCACUAUGUUUAACAGAGUAUCAGAGAUUUCUCGGGACAUGUACAGUUAUGAGAUAACGCAGACACUGGAAAACAGGAUCGUGCUUUUCACCAUCAAAGACUGUCACAGUCUGAUUGUGGAAGUCAGAUGGGGCGCAGUGUUCACUUAAUUCUAGCCGUUGAUAUCAUCUCCUAGGGUUUCUGUACUCGAAGCUUUUGAUAAAGCCAGAGGCUGUUUGCAUCUUGCUGGUUGACCAAGCUGACAUGCUCAGCUUCCUGACGCGAGCUCCCCGGUUCGCCUCUGGCCCGGUUGCACUGUGUGCAUUUACUUUGUGCUAUCCACUUCGUCUCUCCGCGGGCUGUGAAUUUCCCCCUGGGGGUGAAGAAAGUGUUCUGGAAGUAGUGAGGAUUGAUGCACAAAUUUGCAAAUCGACUAGAAACCCCUGCAUCGUACAUCGUAACGGGGUGAACAUCAUGGUAUGUGCAUCGUACCUCAAUAAGAAUGUUAUUUUUAAAAAGACAGAAUAAUACCAUGGAGAGCAUAAAUCCGUUCAUAUAUUUUAAAAAUGCCUGUGGGGCAUUUACCGUUUACCUGCCAUUUAUUUCUAGGGACUGGGGACUGAGAACAGAACGAAAAUGCUUCCCCCGGUAGGCCAUAUAUUCUGGUAUUAGGAGAAAAGCAGGGAGGUCGCUUUUCUUAACAAUAUCUUCGAUGGCUUCUGUGAAUGACUCUGAAGCACACUCAGGAGUCUCCAGUAAUUUGUUCUCUGGUUUCCUGAUGGUGCUUCACGUAUGAUGUAGUCCGUUGUUUCUGCUCAUGAGGGUCCCAAAAGGCAACAAGUGAACUUUCCUCAAAACAGACCAACGCGGUGAUGCUUUGUUCAGAAUUGCCAAAACCUGGAAGGAACCAAGAUGUCCUUCAGCAGGUGAACGGGUGAAUAAGCUGUGGUACGGCCAGACGGUGAAAUAUUAUUUAGCAUUAAAAAGAAACGAGCUACCAAACCAUGAGAAGACAUGGAAGAACCUUAAAUGCAUUAUCACUGAGUGAAAAGGCCAGUCUGAAAAGGCUCCGUGCUGUAGGAUUUCCAGCUAUAGGACAUUCUGGAAAAGGCCAGGCUGUGGAGACGGGAAAAAGAUCAGUGGUGGCCGAGGGUUGCGGGUCAGGGGAGGAGGAGUAGCCGGAGCACUGGAUUUUUCGGGCAGUGCAGCGACCCUGUGUGACACCUCGAUGAUGGCUGCGUGUCCCUGUACAUUGGUUCAAAUCCAUAGAAUGUACCGCAUUAAGAGCCGCCUGGUUGAUUCUCCAGACUCGUGUGGAGUCUCCUCCUCACUCCCGCUAUCCAGCCACAUGGCCUCUUCUAGAAAAUAUGAACCCUCCCCACCUCAGGAUCUUUGCCCAAAACCUCGCUCCUGGCGUAUUUCAUACUUACUCUUCAGGAUCGGCUUUCAUGUCCCUCCCUCGGAGUGGCCUUUCUUGACCUCACAAGCCUAAAUCUGAAUCUAUUAUAUUCUCUCUCCUUGUGCCGUGUUCCUUACGUGGACACACUUACCACCCUCUGUGGAUUUAUUAGUUUACUGUCCGCAUCCCCAGUUGGGUGGCAGAUUUCAUGAGUGUAAGGAAGGCACCUGCCGUGUUCGCUGAUGUAUUCCCAGCACGUAGCCCGGGGCCCGACGGGAGGAGGUGCUCAGUUGACCUGUCGAAUGCGGGAGUAAAUGAGUGGGCUCUGUGAGGUUGAUGUUAUUAGCUCAGAGUACUUCAGCGAUUUACCUGCUGCCACACAGCUAGCAAGGGGACAGAAAUGGAGGAGACCUCAGAAUUACAGUUCCUAGGUGAAUAUACCAUCUAGGAAAGUAUUUGCUAAGGGGAUG